GCAUAACAAUGGAUGACACAUGUCAGUUUAUUUUGAAAGGGGCAAUUGCUCCACUACAAGAUGGACCUGCGUUGUAUUAGCUAGUAGGUGAGGUAAUGGCUCACCUAGGCGACGAUACAUAGCCGACCUGAGAGGGUGAUCGGCCACACUGGGACUGAGACACGGCCCAGACUCCUACGGGAGGCAGCAUG
rnacentral:rRNA from 1 species